AUGGAUCAAAUAAAGGAGUUGUAUGAGGGUGACGAAGACUUUGGCCAUGUUUGGGUAAAGCACAUAAGGGGCCAACCAUUAGGUGAUGACUAUUUGAUCCAAGAUGGAUAUCUCUUCAAAAAUGACCGUUUGUGCAUUCCAAGAAGUUCUCUACGUGACAAGCUGGUUAGAGAGCUCCAUUCAAGUGAUCUUAGUGUCCAUGUUGGACGGGACAAGACUAUCGCUAACCUAGAAGCUUGCUACUUUUGGCCACAACUUAAGAGAGAUGCUGGAAAGUUCGUUCAACGGUGCCUCGUAUGUCAGACCUACAAAGGCCAAGUCCAGAACACAGGGUUAUACAUGCCUUUGCCUAUUCAUGUUGCUCCAUGGGAGGACAUUUCUAUGGACUUCGUCUUGGGCUUGCCAAGAACAAGACGAGGAAGUGAUGUUGUAUUAGUGGUCGUGGAUAGAUUCUUUAAGAUGGCUCAUUUCAUCCCAUGCCGCAAGACAACGGAUGCUCAUCAUGUGGCAAACCUAUUCUUUCGAGAAGUAGCCAGACUUCAUGGAUUUCCAAGGUCCAUUGUCUCAGACCGUGAUAGCAAGUUUCUUGCUGCAUUUUGGCUCACUUUGUGGAAGCAAUUCAACACUGAAUUGAAAUUUUCUAGCACUGCUCAUCCACAAAUAGAUGGACAAACGGAAGUGGUGAACAAGUUUUUGGAUAAUCGGAUCCGUUGUAUUUGUGGAGAAAGAAAGGGGAAAUGGGAUUUGGCUUUAUCUCUUGCAGAGUUCUCCUACAAUAACUCCAAGCAUAGAUCCACAGGAAGGAGCCCAUUUUUCAUUGUCUACACUAAAGUUCCAACACAUGUGGUGGACCUGGUGAAGCUGUCAUCAAGGGGAAACUCAAAAUCAGCAUUGUCCUUUGCUGAUAAUUACACCGAGUUAUUUGAAGAGAUUCGCGGCGCUUUGGAAGCACAAAAUCAGAAAUAUAAACCACUUGCUGAUUGCAAAAAGAGGCCAAAAUCAUUCCAAGUCGGUGAUAAGGUGAUGGUCUACUUCCGAAAAGAGAGGCUGUCUUUAGGUGUUAAAGGGAAACUUAGGCAGCGAAGGUAUGGGCCCUUCUCUAUCGUGAGGAAGAUAAAUGAUAAUGCUUAUGUGAUAGAUCUUCCAAGUGACAUGAGUAUCUCCAACCCUUUCAAUGUUACAGACUUGACUCUCUACCAUCCAGAAGAAGUGCUCUAUGAAGAUAACUCGAGGGCGAGUUCCAAAAAACCAGGGGAGAAUGAUGAGGAAUACUAG
rnacentral:rRNA from 1 species